rnacentral:tRNA from 1 species
GCGGCCGUUGCUGAAUGGUAUAAGCGGAGGUUUUAGGUGCCUCUGGGCGUUUCGCCCAUGUGGGUUCGAAUCCCAUCGGCCGCACCA